CUGCUGUUUCGGGACAUAGCCA
rnacentral:miRNA from 12 species